GAAGUCGGCCAGAAGGGGCGCCCUUCGCCGUGCAGACCCCUGCAGCACCGCGUAAGCGCCUCGGGAAGUCGGCUUCACCCUUGCGCGGGCCUUUGGAGGUGGGUGGCGAGUUAGAGGCGGUAGGAGGCUGAGCGAGUAUGAGGCAGAGCGAGGAGGGAAGGGACCCUGGGACCGCAGAACACCGCGACGGAGGGGACGUGGGCAAGUCCGUAAUUCCGGGGAUGUUCCAAGGAACUUGGACAUUAAAGGCGCUGUGCGUCUCCAUUUUUAACGUAACAGCUCGUUCAGAAAAUGACUGCGUGCACACUGCCUUGCAGAAGACACCGGCCGGCGCGGGCUUCGGCUCUCCCAGCUCUGCUUGCCCACGUCCGUAGCUGAGUUGGACAGGCUGGCACCUAGUGAACUGCGGCAUCGCGCAGGAGACGGGAAGGGCUACUCCACAGAGCGGCGGUAUCCGUCUUUAAGCAGGGAGAGCAUCCUUACCUUCAAAUCAUUGGCCUGGCCACAGCGAUUCACUCUGACUAAAUAUGUUCUUAGUUUGGAAUUGAUCUCUGUUAAUAGUGAUGUGUUACGUGUUAUCAUGAGCCUUAAACUCUCCCUGCUGUUGUAACGAGCCAGUCUUCUGAGCUGUUGUGCCCAGGAAUGGAUUCAGUCCAGCCCUUUUGGGCUGCAGAACAGAAGGAAUGUCAACUAGUUACAGAAUCUAGGCUGCA